AACAAUAUUCACUUCAUGGAAAAUCAAUCAAGUCACUAAACAAGGACCAUUAACAUAAGCAAGUAAUUUCAUUAAACAAAAGCUUAAGACACAAGCCAAAAAAAAAAAACAAGAGGAGCUAGAAGCAAAAAGUUGGGGGUGGAAGAGGUAUCAUUCGAUCAUAACAGGGUUAUACACUGAAAAAUAUCCCAAGAGGAGCUAGAAGCAAAAAGUUGGGGUUUCAUUAAACAAAAGCUUAAGACACAAGCCAAAAAAAAAAAACAAGAGGAGCUAGAAGCAAAAAGUUGGGGGUGGAAGAGGUAUCAUUCGAUCAUAACAGGGUUAUACACUGAAAAAUAUCCACAGAGGUGAAUCAGGUAACCAAGAGGAAGCAUUUGUUUAAAUAUUAUGAUCUAAAUCGUUUAAAUUCCUCUCCUCAAAAACAUUCUAUUUCAUGCGGUAUCAG
rnacentral:lncRNA from 1 species